GUGUUUGCCUCAGCAGCACAUAUACUAAAAAUUAAAUGUUUGAGGGAAGGUUAGCAUGGCUUCUGUAGAAGGAUGGCAUGCAAAUUUUUGCAGCACCCAUAUUAAUU